UCUUAGCUGGAAAGUAGUAGUGAGAAUUUCAAGAAGGGAAGUACAGGUGAGACCGGUGCUAAAAAAGACGCCCCAGUGGGUGUGACAGUUUUCAGAGUGAUCAUAAAUGGGCACCGUAUUUUUGGUGACGAUUACUUAGUAAAAGUGAACACUGUCCAUAGGACCAGGUGAAUACGAUGCUGACAGAGGGGACCAUGCGACCAGAAGCCACUCACCGCAACACCAGAUAGCCUGCAGGCUAAAAGAAAGGCCACACGAGUCGAUUAAUUUUCCCGGUCCAGGUGAAUACAAUGUGGACAGGGCGGACCACGUAACAAGAAGUCGGUCACCACAGCAUACAUUUGGUAUCAAGAUAAAAGACAAACCGCAAGAGUCCCAAAAUAUCCGGGUCUGUUGCUUCUCCCGAAUUCCUCGGUUAAAUGCCGUCUCUUUUGUAUAGUUUCGGAAUGCUGAUGAUUAUUAUUUAUAAAUCUCAUCGCGCUCUCAGGACCCGGUGAAUACAACAUCGAGAAGGCAGACCAGGUCACAAGAACCCGGUCACCAGAGCAUAAAAUUGGUGUCAAGAUAAAAGACAAGCCAGGGUCUAUAGACUAUCCUGGACCCGGUGAAUAUAACAUUGAGAAAGCAGACCACGUGACAAGAAGUCACUCACCGCAACAUCGCAUGGGCGUGAAACUAAAAGAGAAGCCACCAGAAUCUCUUCAUUAUCCAGGACCAGGGGAUUACAGUGCGGAAAAAGCAGACCACUUGGUCAGAAGUCACUCACCCCGGCAUAAAAUUGGAGUCAAGCUUAAAGAGAAACCACCAGAAUCUCUGGGCUACCCAGGUCCAGGAGAAUACGAUGUGGAAAAAGCAGAUCGCAUGAUAAGAAAUAGUUCGCCACAGCAUAAAUUGGCAUCAGGCCUGAAGAGAAAUCACCGGAUUCACUUCAUUACCCUGGUCCGGGUGACUACGACGUGAGAAAAGCAGACCUUGUUACGAGAAUGCGAGCGCCAGAGCACCACAUCGGCAAGAAGCUUAAAGACAAACCACCAGAAUCUGUGCAGUACCCGGGUGUGUUGGUACAUCUCCUUUCUUAUGUCAUUUAUAAGA